UUUACCCGAAGGCGGUGCGCUAACCAGCAAUGGAGGCAGCCAACCACGGUAAGGUCAGCGACUGGGGUGAAGUCGUAACAAGGUAGCCGUAGGUGAACCUGCAGAAGGAUCA
rnacentral:rRNA from 1 species